rnacentral:rRNA from 1 species
GAUGAACGCUGGCGGCGUGCCUAAUACAUGCAAGUCGAGCGAACGGACGAGAAGCUUGCUUCUCUGAUGUUAGCGGCGGACGGGAGAGUAACACGUGGAUAACCUACCUAUAAGACUGGGAUAACUUCGGGAAACCGGAGCUAAUACCGGAUAAUAUUUUGAACCGCAUGGUUCAAAAGUGAAUUACGGUCUUGCUGUCACUUAUAGACGGAUCCGCACUGCUUUAGCUAGUUGGUAAGGUAACGGCUUACCAAGGCAACGGUGCAUAGCCGACCAGAGAGGGUGAUCGGCCACACUGGAACUGAGGCACGGUCCAGACUCCUACGGGACGCAGCAGUAGGGAAUCUUCCGCAAUGGGCGAAAGCCUGACGGAGCAACGCCGCGUGAGUGAUGAAGGUCUUCGGAUCGUAAAACUCUGUUAUUAGGGUAGAACAUAUGUGUAAGUAACUGUGCACAUCUUGACGGUACCUAAUCAGAAAGCCACGGCUAACUACGUG